CCUCCUGGAGGUCUGCGGGAUAGGCUCUGGCUUCCUCUGUUGUCGCCGCAGGGGCGGAAGGGUCCGGUGCAGGCUCGGUGGGUCUGAUGACGUAGCUCCGGGCUCUGCGGCCUCUCAGGUAACCCCUAUGAAAGGGUCAUUCAACUUCCAAAAGGGUCAUGGCCCACAGGCUGAGAAGCACUUCUGUAGAGUGGAGCAAUUAUAAGCAUGCACCCCUAUACCUGACUUAAUGUAUCCUUUUUGAAUAUAACAGUGUAUCUGAAGCCAACAUGUGUUAACUGGAAAGAAGGAAGGUUUACAGCUAAUUCAAUAUCAUCUCAGGAUGGCCAGGAUGUGUAUUGGUGACCUGCUUUGGCCAAGUCUUAAGCUAAUGAAUGCUACUUUACACUAAGCAAGAUGCAUGGAUACCCAGCCGUGCUGUGGACCCAGUGUUGAAGUACACAAGACAGGAUUUCCUGUUGUUUUCUUAGCAUCCCUUUAGAUGGGGUCCCUGGAUUUUUCACCUGUCAUCAGUCACCAAACACCUUUACCUGCUGGGUCAUCUCACCAGUUCCCAAUUCUAUUUUAAAUUCAGGCAGGAUGAAGACUAAAUGCAGAGAUAAGCUCUGGACAUCGUCUUUUGCCAAGAAGAGCCCAUAAGAAACAGCAAGAAUUCUGUAUCAGUGAAGUACACUGGAAUGGGAGGGUCAGACUUCCUCUACCCAGAAAUCCAGGCAGGCCGCCAUGACAGAAUCAGACAAGGGGAUCUAAGUCUCUGUAACCCAGGAACCAAGAGUCAGGCAGCCUUGUUACUAGGUUCCUCUAUUCUCAGUGGCUACUUGCCUGCCCCUUGUCUUGGCACAUAGGGUGGAAAAAAGUCUGCAUACUGGAGCCAGAGAACCAUCAUCAUAGGAAAGAAGUACCAGGGACGGGAGUAUGGGCAGAGGACAGAUGGUCACUGUGAUAGAAUUUCCUGCCUCCUGCUACAUGUUCCUGCAUUAGCUCACCUAUCAGCCCAGUUGAGGGGUGUUUUCUUUUCUUACUUUGUUUUUAUUACAUCUUCUUACUGAGUAGGAGGAGAUUUUCCAAGAUUGCCAGCCAGUCCAAGAUCUUGGUUGUAAAGAGUUAGGAAGCAAGGGUGUGGAGUGGGAGGAGGGAUAAAGAAAAGCCUCCUGGACUGCCAAAGGCAUUUGUCAUCUUGUUUGACACUUUGACACUGUCAUCACAGAGCCUAGGGGAACCUCUGUAAACAAUCUGACAUUUCUAUAGUUUGAAGCAGCUGGAACCUGCCUUACCUGUGAGAUCGCCUCAUCUUGCUAAUGACCAUAAUUGUUGGGUCUCUGACCAGCCAUGACCCAGCCUUGGUAAUGGUGCUAAAAGCAAACCUGGAGCCAGGUAGUCUGCGGUGCCCUCCCUUCCAGUGUACACAUGGCAGCUGGAAGGAUGGCAGACAAGUCAGAGGUUUAGUGGUGUCUUCCUUUCAGUGCUUUUUAGUUUGGGUCAGAGGGAAGACUGCACAUACUGAAGAAGUCUGGUUUGGGGAAAUGCCUGGGGCACAUUAUUGCUUAGCAGUGAGCCCAGAAAAAAAAAUGCUCAUAUUCUUACAAUAUUACAGAAAAACAAACAUACAAAGUACAGGGGAAAAAAAAAAAAACAAUGCUGAGCAUGUUGCUCAGUUGGGAGGAUACUCCCAGCAUUCUCAAAGCCCUAGGUUUGAUCUCCAGGACUUCAAAAACUAGGUAGCACAUUCCUGUAACUCUAGAGCUCAGGAGGCGGAGGUGAUGGAAAGGUCAGGACAAGGUCAUGCUCAGCUCUGCAGCAAGUUUGAGGCCAGCCUGGGACACUCAAGACUCUGUCUCAAAAAGCCCCUAAGAAGAUGUGUUGAUUCUAGGACAUGGCUCUUGGUUCAGCAGUGGGAGGGGUGACAUGACAAAGUGCUUCCUUGACAGAGACAAAAACCAGAUGGGCAAACACUAAUUUAUAAUGAAGUUACAAAGGAAAUAAGUCUUUUAAAUGAUUAAACUGAUCUUGUACUGGGUAUUUCAUCCCUUGGGAAGCAGGAGGAUCAGGAGUUCAAGAACAUUGUCUAUUAUAUAGCCAACUCAAGGCUAGGCUGGGCUAUAGGAGAUCUUUCAAGAGACCAAACAAGCAAACAAACAAACAAAACAACAACAACAAAAAACUGGACAGACAAAAAGUGCUCUUGAGAGUAGAUAUUGAUAACUGGACAAUGCUCAACUUCAUGUUUUCCAUUAGCAACAGUCCUGAAUAUGCUAAAGCUGCCUGGUUACCACAAUGCUAUGUGUGAAAUUCAACCCUGCUAAUAUCCCAGCAAAGAAUAGGUUGGUUGCCAUAGUGACCCCGUGGGUAGUCCUGGCUCUAGAUUUGGCCUAGUGUGGAUUUGGGGAUCCUCCCCCAGGUCGAACAGCAAUUGAAUUAAGGGCUCAUCUGCCAAUCCUGUGGAGAAUGGAUGGGAUGGAUGGAAAGAGAAGUAAAAAGACUAUGGAUAAGAGAGACAGGGGCAGAAAGAAGCAGCAGCAAAAGCCAGAAAGCCACACUUUGAGCUGUCAGGCCAGUGAAGAGCCAAGAAGACAACAGUGUGCUUGGGGUAGUAGUCCUCUCCUCAGUAACAGGGAGACAUAAGGAGAGAGAGGCAAUCAGUGCUGGGGACAGAAGACCACAGCUCCUGUCCUGUGCAGAUGGCUGAUGAUCUGAGCCUCAGCUCUCUGUCCUGAGGUGGGUGGGGUGGAGCAGGGGAUUCGGGACAACCUGCUGCAAGCAGGCUAUCCGCCUUCAGAUAACUGAUUCAGUUCCAGGAUAAUGCUGCUUCUCUUCAGUUACAGACAGCUGGCUUCUCAGAACUGUGGUGAUGCCUUCCCUGCCCUCUUCCUCCUGCCCAAUCACACCAGCUUUGAGUCACCUUCAGGUUUGGUCUGAUACCUUGAGGACGUGGGCUCACAAGUAAAUCCUUGAAAUACCUAGCAUCUACAUUUCUUGUAACAAUAACUCACUAAGUGUUAAACGUUUCUUUGGGAGGCCAGAAGGAGGGCUCAGCAGGUAAAACUGCUUGCUUUGCAAGCCUGAUGAUCUGAAUUCUAUUCUCAGAACUCACACAAAGGUGGAAGGAGAGAACUAACUCCCACAGUUCCUACUGUCACCUCCGUGUGUGCACUGCUAUGCACCUAUGUUUACACUUGUAGACACACACAAUCACAGUAAAUACAGUUUCUGAUUCAUUACAAUCAUUCUUAGCAUAUAAAACAAUAUACCUAAUAUAUAAAUCUUAAUAUAAAAUGCAUUUAUAUUGGAAAUACAUCUCUGAGUGAGAUCAGUGGAACAUUAAAAGUUAUUUUUUAAUUUAAUUUUUUAAAUUAAUUACACUUUAUUCACUUGGUGUCCCCCCAUAAGCCCCUCCCUCCACCCCUCCCCAUCCCACCCUCCUACCCCCUUUUUCACGCAUGCCCCUCCCCAAGUCCACUGAUAAGGGAGGUCCUCCUCUCCUUCCUUCUGAUCUUAGUCUAUCAGAUCACCUCAGGAGUGGCUGCAUUGUCAUCUUCUAUGGCCUGGUAAGGCUGCUCCCCCAUCAGGGGGAGGUGAUCAAAGAGCAGGCCAAUCAGAUUAUGUUAGAGGCAGUUCCUCUUCCCAUUGCUAUGUAACCCACUUGGACACUGAACUGUCAUGGGCUACAUCUGUGCAGGGGUACAUUAAAAGUUAUUAUUUCAUUUACUUAUAUGUCCAUGGGUGAAGCUUUUAUUUUUAUUUUUUUGGCUAGGGUUCAGCAUCAAUUCUCAUUUUAUGUUUUUUUUAUGAUAAGCAAUGAGAAUUUUUUUCAAAAACUAAGGAAACGGGGAAUAUAAGUUUUGCUAUGCAAGUCAUUCAAUUGAUCUGCCAAACAGACAAAACAAAGCUCUGAAAACCUUCGCCUGUGACAAAAUUGCUUUUGAUAAUUAUCAGCUGAUUAUUUGACUGGUUCCUAGUGACAUCCCCAGUGUCUGCUCUAACACUGAGCUGCUUUUGCUUUGGCACUCAGAAGCUUUCCUGCCACCAAGGGAAGACGUUGAGAUACAGGGACGUGUGGAUUAGGACACGGGAAAAGACAACUACCCACUCAGCGAUUCACACGUUGGCUCAUUCACUGGCAAGUCACAUUUAGAAAAGAUACAAGAUACUUGGGGACCCUCCAGAGCUCAGUGGAGGUCGCUUUGGAAAGUCUUAGGACCCUUGCAAACAUAGAUUACAUCUGCACCUGGCUUUAAUUCCAACCUCCUUGGCCCUUCUUCACCGUAUUGCAGGGUCUACUUCUAGAAGCCGCAAGUUUCUCCCGUUCUCGUGCCACUGGCUACCGCGGGCAGAUUCCUUUCUUCUUCGUUUCCCAUUCUCCUUCCCUCUUUUCAUUUCUCCCACUCCCAUCCUCGCUCCCUGAGUCCCUCUUCCAUUUCUUUCUUUCUUCUUUCUCUUCUUUCUUUCCACUUAAAAAUAAAAAUUCCAAUAGGAAUAGAUAUUUUAUUAAAAACAAACAAACGAACGAAUUUGGAAACGUGCCAGAGGUGAACGGGCCGAGGUCAGGUAGUUAGAUGUGGCUAGCGUCGACCCCACUCGCUCACAGGCUGGGGUACACUGGGUGUGGCUGAAUGACAUUCAGGGACCCGCCCCUGCCCAUCUUCCAUGCCACAUUCUGCUCAACUUGAAACAGGGAGUUUUGCCCAGCUUCUGUUUGCUUUCCUCCCUCAUCCGUAUGCCUGGAACAUUCAUUUAUCUGUACCCGCUUCCAGCCUGGUACACUCCUACACAUGCUGAAGCGUCAGCUCCCUGUAAUCUCGUCGGGGAGGCUUUCCAACUCGCCUGGUGUUCCUGGCUAUCAGCUAACUUGGCAAGCGCAGAUAGGAUUUUCAGGCAUUUCCCUGUCUCCUUCACUAGAGGGAGUAACUCAAGGGCUGUGCCUUCCCUCCCCAAACUCCAGUGAAAGCUCUUUAUGAUUCGGCGGGCUAUGUUGAGGAUACAGCCCUCUGACUUGCAGGUGUUUCAGGAACAGAGUUGUGAGAAGUUUCUGGAUUCUUGUUCCCAGCUAAGCAUUCGGUGUCGGGGACGGAAGCACUUCCCAGCUCGAUAUUCAAGAAUUUAUACUGAAAUGUUCCAGAGGCCCCAUCUUCAAAGGAUCCGCUCUUCUAGUGCAGUCUCACUCAAGAACACGAGAUGGCGCUCGUGGAGGGCUGGAAGGCCCUAGACACUCUCUCCCUCUCUCCCUCUCUCCCUCUCUCUCUCCUCUCUCUUUCUCCUGGUUAGCCUAUAUGUAUGUAAUUUGAGAUAAGGAACUCAAUUCAUUCUGACACCUUCCCUUCCCUCUCCCUAAACUCACUUUCUGUCCUUUUCCUGGGUCAAAGAAAAGCUGAGCUAUUCAAAUCUAAAGGGUUAUUCUUGUUUAGAAGCUAAAACCAAACUCUGGGUUGUGAAGUUAAGCACGGCAUGGAUUACUAUGCUGGGAGAGAAUUUGGAGCUGCCACACACCUGAGAACAGGCUACUGCAUUGGGGAUAGUUCGGGUCACCCACUCCACAUUUCUGGACUUCUGCUCAGGGCACCUAGGAGCUACAUGGGAUCCGUAAUCCUCUUCUGGCCUCCUGGAGUACCCAUAUUACAUAUGACACAUGCACAUACACAUAAAUUGAGAGAGAGAGAGAGGAGAGGGGGAGGAGAGGUGUUUAUUAAGUAGUGAACAGACUUUAAAGUCAGCUUUGUUCAAAUUAAAUGAACAUCUUCGUUUGAUUUUUUAAAUCUGCCUAGUAGUGACCUCCUUACCUUGAGGCCCGAUUAAGCCAGCUGUGGAGCUUCUCUGGUGUAGUCAAGACUGAUGUCAGCAAAGUUGCAAACAGUCAUCACCAGCCAGACUGCCUGCAAAGCUGAAGGAACUGCCUGCCACACUCAUUCCCAGAGGUGCACAAAAACACAGCCUCACUUUCCAUGCUGGAUUGGUUUCCAGGUAGUUUCAAAGAUGCCAGUAAAGCAAAUUUUCUGUAUUAAACUCUCAGAUCGAGGUCUACCUCUUAACAUGUGUAAGGUAAACCCUUCUCUUUGUCUCUCUCUUUCUCCUUCUGAGUUGUCAGCAGAGUUACAGAUAGUCUCCAUGACAGAGAGAGAUGGGGAGAGAGAGAGAUUGAGUGAGUUUAUGUAGUGCUGGGCAUCAAACCCAGGGAUUCCUGCAUACCAAAUACUUCUUCCCAACACAACACACAGGCCACUUGUAAACAUAGGCCACGUCAGAAGCUCAAUGGGUAUAAUCCAAUUUGCUUUUCAUACCUAAGGUUUGAUUGUAGGUGUUCAGUCAUUAGUAAGGUAGAGUCUUAAUAGAACCCUUAUGUAUCCCUGUAAUGUCAAUGGCAAAUAUAAUCUCAGGCAGAAAUCUUUAUCCCUUAAUACAGAAUGUUAGUCCAAAACUUUAGAGGAGAUCUUUCUCUAUGUGAUAGAGAGGCAGAGAGAAAGAAACAGACAGGAAAACUCAUGAAAGUGUGUUUUCAGUUACUUUCAAUAAAAAAGACAUUUGUUUUGUGUAUCUAUAUAAGUGGGUACAUGUGUGCUGCAGUGCAUGUGUGGAGGCCAGAAAGCAGUUUCAGGAACUAGGUCUGUCUUCUCUAACGUGGGCCCAUCUGGGGAUUAACAUCAGACCACCAGUCCCAUUGCAAGCUUCCGUACCUGCUGAGCCAUCUCACUGGCACCCAUCUUCAGUAACUUAAAAAUGAUGAAAGAGUUAUUUAUGGAACUAGAUACUCUAUCUCCUUGCCGUUUCCUUCUUCCUUCUUUUUCAAAAGGUUAGUCUUCUCCAGUGAAACGUCCUUCAGAAAUUCAAAUGGGCAUGAUCUCAUAAUUCAAUUACUAGAUAACUGCUCAAAGGAAUCAAAAGCUGCACAUCAAACAGUUCAGGAUGGAUGUGUGGGCUCACACUUAACCGUGAAAGCAUGGGCAGAGAUGUACCCAGUGAUUGCAGGAGCAUUAGUCAUAACAGCCCUAAUGCAGAGCCCAAGCAUACAUGAGGAGACAGGUGGGUGACAGAAUGCAAUGUGAACCUGUACCAGGACACAGUCAGCCUUGAAAUGACACGCCACAAUAUGCAUAAUCCUGACGAACAUUAUGUUAGGUGAAAUACGCCAGACAAAGAGGCAAGUAUUUUAUCCCUCAUGUAUAGAAAGUACCUAAAAUAGCGGAAUCCAGAAAUAUAAAGCAAAAGCAUUGUUACAGGGGUCCAGAGUAGUAAGGGUGUGGAUUUUUGUUUAGUGGGCGCAGAAUUUCAGUCUAGCAUGAUAGCACAUUCUGGAAAGAGAUGCUGGUGGUUGCUGUACAACAGUGUGCAUACUUAAUGUUAUGGGAUCACACAAAAAAUGACUGAAGUGGUUUUUGCUCUAGUGCUGGGGCAGGGCAAUCAAAGCUGGGCAUGAAAGGCAGGGACACUAUCCCUGAACCAUACUGCUAACACCCCAAAACGAUACAUUUUGUAUUUUCUAUAUUUUGCCACAAAGGUCAAAUAGCCCUUCUACUUGAAAACCUUUGCUGACACCUGUCCUAGCACGUUUGUUUGUCACGUAACACUUCAAAGUGUGAACCAUGCCACUAACCUCAAGGCAAGCCUCUGUUAGAGACUUUUUCUGAGCCUGAAGUGCAUAUUAUCUUGUUUACUUUUCACUCCUUAAGUUUGCAUGGCGGGUGUUCAAAUAUUAGUCAGGCAGAGUCUCAAUGGAAACCUCACUUCUGCCAGUAGAUGUAUAACCUUACAAUCAGUUGUUCUAUGAGUUUUGACCAGUUGUGGCUUUCUGUAGUAGCUUCCGUCUGCUGAGAAAAGAAGCUCCUUUGACAAGGGGUGAGAGCUAUACUUAUUUAGGUCUCCACCAUGUGUGGUUGGCUACAUUUCCCCAGUUGCAAGCCAGGGAGGAAACAAAACUCCUGAGGGAGGAACAAUCAAAUAUAACUAGAGUGUUGGAUCCUGGAUGCUGAGUUGUGAAUUUUAUCCCCAAAACAAGUCCUAUGUCUAGAAUAAAGGGAAAGUGCAGGGAAGACAAACAAACUGUAGAUACAAACACAAUAGCCAGACAGGGAAGAACUAUUCUUUAUUUACCAAGGGAGGGACUUCCUCAGUGGCUAGCAUAAAAAUUGGUGUUAUUUAACAAAUAUUCAUCCCUCUUUGCCUAGUUUGAUCCUGUGACUGCUUCAGGCGAGGAAGAUUCAGUUAGAGACGUGAGAAAGUUUCUCAGGAUGGGAUUCAGUUAGAGACGUGAGAAAGUUUCUGUCAUUGGGCUUUUGAUCUUCUGUCUUUGAUGUGUGCGUAAAUGAAACAUGUCCUUAGCAGGAUGCUAGCGCCAUAGGAAUGAGGGGCACGUGGAACAUAGCAAGGCAAGCUGACCCACGGCUCUGGAACUAGAAGCAAUACGGUUCCACUUGAUCUGCAAACUGGUAGGUGUGACAGUGAACCGUUGCUAUCCCGUGCUGGGUUCUGAGGAAGUCACCAGGCAGCAUCAUUGUAGUCGCUAUAGUUUGUAUGUACAAUGUCCCCAACAAGCCAUGCAUCUGAACACCCAGUCCAUAGCUUGUGGAACUGUUUUGGGGAGUUGUUGAACCUUUGGGAGGAAGGGCCUAGCUGGGGAAGUUGCAUCUCCAGGGGCCGUGAAGAUGGUAGAAUAUCUUCACUUCUUAUGUGUUCUUUGUUUCCUGAUCCUCUGAGAUAUGAGCAAGAAUCUGUCUCAUGUUCCUGUCACCAUGGAGUUUUUCUGAUGCCAUGCUUUCCUCCCCUCAAUGGGCCAUUCCUUUUGAAACAAUGAUCAAAAAGAAGCCUCUUCUGCAACUUGUUUCUUGUUAGUAUUUAUAAACACAGCAUCUAAAUACCCACAUUCAUGAAAAAAAAAUCUGUAUGUGAACAGAUAAGAACCCAAAUCUGUGGAUAAUCUAAAUCUCAUCAAAGGGAGAAUGAAUACAUAAACUAUGGAAAAACUAUAUACUAAGAGAUAACACUCAGUUAUAAAGACAAACAGAUAUAAACAGAGGCAUGAAUGGAUCUCAAAAUCUAUGCUAAGUUAAAGUGAGGCAGAAGAGAUUAGGUUAUUCAUGUAUGUUGAAUUCUAGUAUAGGAAUAAUAUAUAUCAUCCUUUGAAGAUCAAUAAUUGAUUAUGGCCAAAGGAUAGAAAAGGUUGACUAUAAAGAGGUACAAGAGAACAUUUUGAGUGGUGGAAAUAAUUUGUAUUUUGGUAAGGAUGUUUAAAUAUGUGUUUGAUUUUGUCAAAACUGAAGUGUAACCUUCGUUGGAUUUUAGCUUUGGAAAUUGUAUCCCAAUAAUAUAAAUUAAAACGUUGUUAUUCCUGAUUUUAGUUUCCCCAGUUUUGGGGUUUGGAUGUGAAAUGUCUCCCACAGGCUUGUGGUUUUGAAA